rnacentral:rRNA from 1 species
UACGUAGGGUGCAAGCGUUGUCCGGAAUUAUUGGGCGUAAAGGGCUCGUAGGCGGUCCGUCACGUCGGGAGCGAAAACUUGGGGCUUAACCCCAAGCCUGCUUCCGAUACGGGCGGACUAGAGGUAGGCAGGGGAGAACGGAAUUCCUGGUGUAGCGGUAAAAUGCUCAAAUAUAUAGAGGAACACCAAACGGCGAAGGCAGUUAACUAUUCAGUUCUUGACGUUGAGGCACGAAAGCGUGGGGAGCAAGACGG